rnacentral:rRNA from 1 species
GCAAAACGCGAAGAACCUUACCCACCUUUGACAUGUACGGAAUCCUUUAGAGAUAGAGGAGUGCUCGAAAGAGAGCCGUAACACAGGUGCUGCAUGGCUGUCGUCAGCUCGUGUCGUGAGAUGUUGGGUUAAGUCCCGCAACGAGCGCAACCCUUGCCAUUAGUUGCUACAUUUAGUUGAGCACUCUAAUGGGACUGCCGGUGACAAACCGGAGGAAGGUGGGGAUGACGUCAAGUCCUCAUGGCCCUUAUAGGUGGGGCUACACACGUCAUACAAUGGCUGGUACAAAGGGUUGCCAACCCGCGAGGGGGAGCUAAUCCCAUAAAGCCAGUCGUAGUCCGGAUCGCAGUCUGCAACUCGACUGCGUGAAGUCGGAAUCGCUAGUAAUCGUGGACCAGAAUGUCACGGUGAAUACGUUCCCGGGUCUUGUACACACCG